CAUCUGCUGCCUCGACCGCGAGACCACGCCCGAGUACCACAUCCAGGUGGUGGCGGUGGACGGAGGCGGCCUCAAAGGUACAGGUACAGUGGUGGUGCGGCUGGCAGACGUGAACGACAACUCUCCUCGGCUGACUCGUGACCCUAGCAGGUGGAGGUGGACGAAACAUGGGGUGACGGAGCUCCUACCAACCACACUCUCCUCCAGAUCUCUACCACCGACCACGAUACCUCCAACUACUUCUUCUACCGGGUGGUGGAGGCCAGCGGGUUAGGAUGGGAACAUUUUGGGAUGCGGACUGAGGGGGCCGUUGGUCACCUCUACGCCCUCAAGACACUCGACUCAGGAUUCCGUGCAGCGCCGAGGCUUCCGCUUCAUGGUGCAGGUUACGGACAGGGGUCGCGGAGGGUGGAGUGAUGCACGACACACAGACACGGCCUGGGUGGAGGUUAAACUACGUGACGUCAACGACAACCCUCCACAGUUCAGCCGUCCACACGACCACGUCACAGUGAGGGAGGACACGGCCCCCGGCACCCUCCUCACCUCCCUCCCCGCCACCGACCCUGAUAUGGU